rnacentral:rRNA from 1 species
GCUUCGGUGAUUGACCUAGCGGCGGACGGGUGAGUAAUACUUAGGAAUCUGCCUAUUAAUGGGGGACAACAUCUCGAAAGGGAUGCUAAUACCGCAUACGCCCUACGGGGGAAAGCAGGGGAUCACUUGUGACCUUGCGUUAAUAGAUGAGCCUAAGUCGGAUUAGCUAGUUGGUGGGGUAAAGGCCUACCAAGGCGACGAUCUGUAGCGGGUCUGAGAGGAUGAUCCGCCACACUGGGACUGAGACACGGCCCAGACUCCUACGGGAGGCAGCAGUGGGGAAUAUUGGACAAUGGGGGGAACCCUGAUCCAGCCAUGCCGCGUGUGUGAAGAAGGCCUUAUGGUUGUAAAGCACUUUAAGCGAGGAGGAGGCUCCUAUAGUUAAUACCUAUAGUGAGUGGACGUUACUCGCAGAAUAAGCACCGGCUAACUCUGUGCCAGCAGCCGCGGUAAUACAGAGGGUGCGAGCGUUAAUCGGAUUUACUGGGCGUAAAGCGUGCGUAGGCGGCUUUUUAAGUCGGAUGUGAAAUCCCCGAGCUUAACUUGGGAAUUGCAUUCGAUACUGGGAAGCUAGAGUAUGGGAGAGGAUGGUAGAAUUCCAGGUGUAGCGGUGAAAUGCGUAGAGAUCUGGAGGAAUACCGAUGGCGAAGGCAGCCAUCUGGCCUAAUACUGACGCUGAGGUACGAAAGCAUGGGGGAGCAAACAGGAUUAGAUACCCUGGUAGUCCAUGCCGUAAACGAUGUCUACUAACCCGUUGGGGGCG